AGGACGAACGCUGGCGGCGUGCCUAACACAUGCAAGUCGAGCGGAGUCAGUAAGAGGAAGUUUCGGAUGGAAUCUGUUGAUUAGCGGCGGACGGGUGAGUAACGCGUGAGCGACCAACCUUGCACAGGGGGAUAACGGACCGAAAGGUUCACUAAUACCGCAUGAGACCACGGUGUUGCAUGACACAGGGGUCAAAGGAGCAAUCCGGUGCAAGACGGGCUCGCGUCCGAUUAGGUAGUUGGAGGGGUAACGGCCCACCAAGCCUAUGAUCGGUAGCCGACCUGAGAGGGUGAUCGGCCACAUUGGAACUGAGAUACGGUCCAAACUCCUACGGGAGGCAGCAGUGGGGAAUAUUGGGCAAUGGGGGGAAACCCUGACCCAGCAACGCCGCGUGAAGGAAGAAGGUUUUCGGAUUGUAAACUUCUGUCCUUGGUGAAGAGAAGAAGACGGUAGCCAAGGAGGAAGCCCCGGCUAACUACGUGCCAGCCGCUGC
rnacentral:rRNA from 1 species